AUUGUAUAGAAGAACACUGUGAAACUCCCUGCCCUGUUCUGUUUCUCUCUGACCACUGGUGCAUGCAGCCCCUGUCACGUAUUCCUUGCUUGCUGAAAUCAAUCACAACCCUUUCAUGUGAAAUCCUUAGUGUUGUGAGCUCUUAAAAGGGACAGAAAUUGUGCACUUGGGGUGCUCGGAUUUUAAGGCAGCAGCUUGCCGAUCCUCCCAGCUGAAUAAAGCCCUUCCUUCUACAACUUGGUGUCUGAGAGGUUUUGUCUGCGGCUCGUCCUUCUACAUUUCUUGGUCCCCUGACCGGGAAUCGAGGUAACUGAGGGAUGGCCGAGGUAGCCCCUUAGGCAGCUUAGGCCUGCCCUGUGGAGCAUCCCUGCAGGGGACUCUGGCCAGCCUGAGUGACGUGAUCCAAAGAGCACUCCUGGGUAGAAAAUUGCCUGGGUGGAACGCCUCACCAGAACAGCACGUAGCAGGCCCCUGUGGAGGAUUAACACAGUGGCUGAACACCGGGAAGGAACUGGCACUUGGAGUCCGGACAUCUGAAACUUGAAUUGACAAGCCGACAUCAGUCUCCAGAGUGAAUCCAAGGAGUGGACCCAAGACAUUUGUGUUCUGUGAUGUGGUGGCAUGUUACCUGUCAUCUCCGAUGCAUAACUCCUAAAGUGCGUCUGGGGCAGUUGUACAGAUUGCAGAGGAUAAUACUCAAGAUGUUCUCCAAGGCCAACUAGUCAUCAGUUUAUUCAUAGCUCCCAAGAUGGUGGUGGGCCACUUCCAAGAUGGUGGCAAGAGUCGUAUUCUCUGACCUGGGGUUCUUGGUCUCAUGGAUUCCAAGGAAUGGAAUCUUGCGCCAUGUGGAGAAGCGUCAGAUAAUUAGGCAGCAGUCCAACAAUUAGGUUUUGUGGAACUUUUACUAUGUCAUCUAUUUAUUGGAAUUCCCCCUGGAUACCAGGACCCCCUCCAGCAGAGCUUAAAGUUAUAGUUACAGGAAGUACAAAUUCCUUAUGUGGAUCCCUGGAAGUGUGAUGAGAAGAACCACUGUUUCCAAGAUCUAUUUAUUCUAUUUAUCAGGCCUAUAAAAUCAUGUAAUGGCCAUGGCUUCAACUAGACUCCACAUCUUGAAUCACAGAACUCAACGAAUGGCAUCAACUACAAGCUGGUAUUCUGCUAUACAUUUAAGAGGCCAUUUUAAUAUUCUAUUAGUCUAGCAGCUUCUAAGUGAUGAGGGAUAUGGGGGGACUGGAGGAUCCCGUGCUCACUUCCUUUUCUGUAAAAGGAGCUCUUUGAUCCAAGGUGACAUGGUAUGGGAUCCAAUGACAAUAAAUCAGUUAUUCUGUGAACCCUGAUCAAAACUUGACUAAACUUUUGACAGUUAGGUUUUUUCCUGACCACAGACUCCUCACCUUUCUUUUCUUAGAAAAUUUACAUUGGAAAACAGAUGUAAAUUUUCUCCAGCCUCUUGCAAGGUUUACAGUCCAGGACUUUGAGGUCCUGGGAGUCAUCCUUUUGAAAUACAAUCAUCAAAGAAGAUAGUGCUCCAAUCUCCUAGUCUCUGUGGGAGGGUUGGAACCUAACUUCAGUAAACUAAUCACCAAUUAGCAAACACAGAGGGGCUGAUCAUACUGACCCACUUUCCCACUAAAAUGUCUAGUACUUUCCACCAGCUCACCACAGUGCUUAAAAACUCUCCUGUCUUUUGUUUUACUAGAGUUGAGUCCAAUCUCUUUCAUCUAUUGCAAUAGUGUUGAAUAAAGUCUUCCUUGCCUAA
ensembl:lncRNA LINC01320 long intergenic non-protein coding RNA 1320